rnacentral:rRNA from 1 species
GAUGAACGCUGGCGGCGUGCCUAACACAUGCAAGUCGAACGGGAAUAGGAUGAAACCUAGUGAUUCCUAUUCUAGUGGCGGACGGGGGAGUAACGCGUGGGUAACCUGCCUUGCACUGGGGGAUAACACUUAGAAAUAGGUGCUAAUACCGCAUAAGCGCACAGAACCGCAUGGUUCGGUGUGAAAAACUCCAGUGGUGUAAGAUGGACCCGCGUCUGAUUAGCUGGUUGGUGAGGUAACGGCUCACCAAGGCGACGAUCAGUAGCCGGCCUGAGAGGGUGAACGGCCACAUUGGGACUGAGACACGGCCCAA